CGAAGCGUGCGAUUGGAUUGCACGUCUAAGCAGUAAGGCUGAGUAUUAGGCAAAUCCGGUACUCAUUAAGGCUGAGCUGUGAUGGGGAGAAGACAUUGUGUCUUCGAGUCGUUGAUUUCACACUGCCGAGAAAAGCCUCUAGAUAGAAAAUAGGUGCCCGUACCGCAAACCGACACAGGUAGUCAAGAUGAGAAUUCUAAGGUGAGCGAGCGAACUCUCGUUAAGGAACUCGGCAAAAUGACCCCGUAACUUCGGGAGAAGGGGUGCUCUUUAGGGUUAACGCCCAGAAGAGCCGCAGUGAAUAGGCCCAAGCGACUGUUUAUCAAAAACACAGGUCUCUGCUAAACCGUAAGGUGAUGUAUAGGGGCUGACGCCUGCCCGGUGCUGGAAGGUUAAGAGGAGUGGUUAGCUUCUGCGAAGCUACGAAUCGAAGCCCCAGUAAACGGCGGCCGUAACUAUAACGGUCCUAAGGUAGCGAAAUUCCUUGUCGGGUAAGUUCCGACCCGCACGAAAGGCGUAACGAUUUGGGCACUGUCUCAACGAGAGACUCGGUGAAAUCAUAGUACCUGUGAAGAUGCAGGUUACCCGCGACAGGACGGAAAGACCCCGUGGAGCUUUACUGUAGCCUGAUAUUGAAAUUCGGCACAGCUUGUACAGGAUAGGUAGGAGCCUUUGAAACGUGAGCGCUAGCUUACGUGG
rnacentral:rRNA from 1 species